rnacentral:sRNA from 1 species
UUUUUUUUUUUUUGAGAUGGAAUCUCGCUUAGCCACCUAGGCUGGAGUGUAGUGGCACGAUCUCGGCUCACUCACUGCACUCACCAUCUCCCGGGUUCAAGUGAUUCUCCCAUCUCAGCCUCCCAAGUCGCUGAAAUUACAGGCAUCUGUCAUCAUGCCCGGCUAAUUUUUAUAUUUUAGUAGAGACAGGGUUUCACCAUGUUGGCCAGGCUGGUCUUGAACUCCUGACCUCAGGUGAUCCGCCUGCCUCGGCCUCGCAAAGUGCUGGGAUUACAGGCAUGAACCACUGUGCCUGGCCUAAUUUUUUAGUAGUAUUUUUUUAGUAGAGACAGGAUUUCACCAUGUUGGCCAGGCUGGUCUCGAACUCCUGACCUCAGGUGAUUUGCCCGCCUCGGCCUCGCAAAGUGCUGGGAUUACAGGCAUGAGCCACUGCAUCCGGCCAACAGCUUAUGUUAAUAUGGUAUGUUUGUUAUAAUUGCAAAUUUGUUUUUUGAAAUACACUGCAGAAACAUUUUGUACUGAAAAAAACCCUUUCAACAUUUUGAUUAGAAUUGUAAUAUGUUGUAAAUAGUCAUCGUUCCAUUCCCCAACAGCUGUGUAUUGAGCACUUCCCUGUGCCAGGCACUGCAGAGUCUAGGGGUGCUGUGGACCUCACUGGCGGAGGGCUUUUCUAGUGAAAGUGACCAUGUAUUAUGUAAGUCUGCCUCCCAGGUGCAUGUCUCCACUUGUUCAGAUCUGGGUUCUUUUCCCACAUCUGCUCCUGUGGGUUGAGAACUUGAAUCCCUUCACGACUGAGGGUCUCACCUUUGCUCCAAAGUGGCAGUGGCAGAGGAGGCAGGUCAGGUAGUACCGCAAGCCCACUGACAGGCACAAGGUAUCAAAAUACCAGCUGCUGUGCUGGCGUGGCCUGCAGAUUGCCAUGGUGGUUCGCAACAUUUUGAAUUAGCCAUCUGUACUGAAAAAUCAGAGAAUUUCACUUCAAAGAUCCCAAUUUUCAGCUUUUCUGGAAAAAUCAAAGAUUUUGUGGCAUGGGCUCUUCCUCCCAAACCCAGCCAAUUGGCAAGAGCCCUGUAGCAGGGGUGCCCUUUGGCCACCUCCCUGUGGACUCCCUCUCCUGGACUGAAUGUCUCCAGGAUUACUAGGCUUAUGCAGCAUUUUUUUUUUUUUUUGAGAAGAAAUCUUGCUUUGUCGGCAGCCUGGAGGGCAGUGGUGUGAUCUCGGUUUACUGCAACCUCCACCUCCUGAGUUCAAGUAAUUCUCCUGCUUCAGCCUCCCAAGUAGCUGGGAUUACAGGUACCUGCCACCACGCCCAGCUAAUUUUUGUUUUUUGUUUUGUUUUUGAGACAGAGUCUUGCUCUGUUGCCCAGGCUAGAGUGCAGCGCGAUCUCGGCUCACUGCAGUCUCCGUCUCCCGGGUUCACGCCAUUCUCCUGCCUCAGCCUCCCGAGUAGCUGGGACUACAGGCACGUGCCAUCAUGCCCGACUAAUUUUUGUAUUUUUAGUAGAGACGGGGUUUCACUGUGUUAGCCAGGAUGAUCUCGAUCUCCUGACCUCGUGAUCCACCCGCCUUGGCCUCCCAAAGUGCUGGGAUUACAGGCAUGAGCCACCUUGCCCGGCCUAAUUUUUGUAUUUUUUAGUAGAGACAGGGUUUCACCAUGUUGGCAAGGUGGUCUCGAUCUCUUGACCUCGUGAUCCACCUGCCUUGGCCUCCCAAAGUGCUGGGAUUACAGGCGUGAGCCUCUGUGCCCGGCUUAUGCAGCAUUUUUCCUUUUAGAGGAUAUCAGAGAAAAGUGAAAUCUUGAUUACACCCAGCCUGAGUCAUUCAUUCACAUGAUCACAGCGCUGGCCCCUCAUAUAUAUGCCUUUGAGUUCAUGGCUGUAGAUUCAGCUGGAUGUUACCUUCCUUCUGCUCACCUCUCAGGGCUCACCCGAGACAGCACUGCCUUCAGGAAGCCUUCCCUCAUCUCCUAGACUAGCGAGGGCAGACUUUCCUGCUGGCCAGGCCUCCCUGCAGUUAUCAGAUGUUAUUGUAAUUACUUAUUCUGGAGCUGCUCCUUGCAGGACUGAAUGCUCCAUGAGGGAAUGUCCUCUGUCUUGGUCAGAGACUCCUCCUCGCCUGUAGCUCCACGUCUGGCAUGUAAUAAGCACUUGUUAACUCUUCAGUGAAUGAAUGUAGGACUCUUGUGUCCUCCACUGUCUUCCUUGGCCCCUGAUGUGUGGUUCUCAUCCCAGGCCUGCAGAAUGAUCACAAGGCAGUGAUGAAGCAGGUGGAGGAGGCCCUGCACCAGCUGCACGCUCGCGACAAGGAGAAGCAGGCCCGGGACAUGGCCGAGGCCCACAAAGAGGCCAUGAGCCGCAAACUGGGCCAGAGUGAGAGCCAGGGCCCUCCACAGGCCUUCGCCAAAGUGAACAGCAUCAGCCCCGGCUCCCCAGCCAGCAUUGCGGGUCUGCAAGUGGAUGAUGAGAUUGUGGAGUUCGGCUCUGUGAACACCCAGAACUUCCAGUCACUGCAUAACAUUGGCAGUGUGGUGCAGCACAGUGAGGGGAAGCCCCUGAAUGUGACAGUGAUCCGCAGGGGGGAGAAACACCAGCUUAGACUUGUUCCAACACGCUGGGCAGGAAAAGGACUGCUGGGCUGUAACAUUAUUCCUCUGCAAAGAUGAUUGUCCCUGGGGAACAGUAGCAGGAAAGCAUCUUCCCUUGCCCUGGACUUGGGUCUAGGGAUUUCCAACUUGUCUUCUCUCCCUGAAGCAUAAGGAUCUGGAAGAGGCUUGUAACCUGAACUUCUGGGUGGUGGCAGUGCUGUGGCCUACCAGUGUAAUCUCCCUGGAUUAAGGCAUUCUUAAAAACUUAUGCUUGGCCUCUUUCGCAAAUUAGGCCAUGGCCCUAAAUAGGAAUUUCCUAGAUUGUGGGCAAGUGG